rnacentral:lncRNA from 1 species
GUCCACGCGCGCCAAGGGAUCUCCAAGAUACGUAUUUAGGCCGCUCAUUAACAAAGUGACACUACCCUAACCGCCGGCCAGCGAGUCGCACGUUGUCUUUAUGUGUUUUUAUAAACAGUAUGUGAUCACUAUUGUUGUUUUGGAUAACAUCUGACGGACAUGUCUCGAGUGAAGAUAAUAUUCGCGAUACUCGCAUUGUUAGUACUAAUUGGUGCGAGCGGUUUUGUGUUACCGUCACACACGGACACCGUCCAAGGCCUGCGCAAACAGACCGAACAGCCUCCACGCCACUCUGAAGACUAUAGGAGAUAUAACUUCAUCAUCACUACCUACUUAUAGCACAAACUAUGAAUAAGGCGCCGCGUCAAGUGGACUAGAAACGCAUUGAAUCUCAUUUUAUUUGCUCCGUGAUAAUGGAUUUACCAAUAGGCCGUGUAGGCCACGGCUUAGGGAAGGUAUAGUUGCAACGAAGAACCUUUUUAGCUCUAUCAUAUACAAGUAUAAAAUGUGAAUGAUGUUUCGGCUCGGAGCGCCGCUUUGAACACAGUUUCAUAGUUAUUGUAUUAAUGAGACAAAAUUUAAUGUAAACAAAGAAUGUACCUUCUUUUCUAUAUUCUUUUAUUCAGGUCAAUUACAUUAAAUACUACAUUAGGGAUGAUUAAAAAGGUUAUUAGCUUACAUUUUAUUGUUACCUUCUCUAAAUAAGGUAUAGUCAGGAGACUCAAUUCCGUCUAGGGGACGUAUGAGUUUUUUUGAAAUUACGGACGUUCUAAUUGACAGGAGAGCAUUGAUAGCUGUAUAGGUAAAUAGGGGAUCUUUUGAUUUUAACUAUACUGUUUAAUGUCUUUGUUUUGGCUUUUUAUCUAUAUAGCCAUCGAUAUAUAUGUACUACGUACUAGAUUUGGCGUCCCGGACAUUCACUGUGUUCAACUUAAUUGAACUGCAAUCCAUUUAACCUGACUCGUAUGGUCAAUAUUGACAGCUUAUUGUGUACGGAGUGGCGCUAAUAAUAUAAGAACUCGUAUCUAAGUGCCUGGAUGUGAAUAAAAAAUAUUAGCCAAAUUAGUAAAAUUAUUUGUAGUUCAAGUGAAUAAAUAGAUUAUAACAGUGACGUUUUGUUGCCAUUUUAGUUCAGAUUUUAAACAAAUAUUUUAUAUGGACGUGCGUCUAUAGAAUAUAAGUCAAUGUAUAUGGCAAUCAAAGUUGUCCUCCAAUUGAUUACGCCUGAAAUUUCAAAAAGAUAGUUCCCAUAUUUAAACGGAAUAGAACUUCCUGACUGUAUAUCCAACUAUUUAAUAUGCAAAUAGAUUUACUCUUUAUACAUGACAUGUGAAUGUAUUAUUUACUGCAAUCAUUUGCCGUUUCGUAGAAGUUACGAGUGUACACAGUGAAUUAUUGUUAACAAGUUAUACUGUAUGCUCUUUAUUGUGAUAAAUAUCUAACGCAUUACUAAUAAAUAAAUAUAAUGUGUUUCGAUAACAUUGAAAUAAUACUAUUUUACGGAAUUAAGGCGGUUUUUUAUAUUAUAUUUUUGUCAGAUUUUUCUCCCGAUGUUUCGAAGACUUUGACCAAAGAGAAUUAUAAUAUAUAUAGACUUUGACAAUCCUCUUUGGACAGUCUGCCCGACUGUAAAGGCCAUAAACAAACCGUGAUGAAAUCCGUAAAAUAGUUUUAUUUCAAUGUCUAAUACUCGCGUAAAGAUAAGAAAUCAUUUUUAAAGAAAUUGUAUAGACUGGAAUCUCGAUGUAUUAAUGUGUUAAUGACGAUAUAUUUAGUAAAUUUUCUUAAUAAUAUCUAAAAUAAAAGAGGUUAUCCAUUAACAACUAAAAUGAGAUGUAAUUUCUAUCGCCUUUGUCUAAAUGAAACAAUAUCCUUAAUGUAUUUCAGCCUUCUUUUCUCUUCUACAGCACAAGAAAUUGCUAAAGAUACAACUGUGGAAAGUGAUACAGCGACUGUGCGGCCAAUAUCUCUUUUUAUAGUUCUAUAUACAUUAAAUUUAUCUAUAGGCCGCAUGAUUACUUUAUCUCUUUCACUUUCCGUAUGAGUAUUUACUUUAAAGCCAGGUAGAAAGUCGACUUUCUUUAUAUUAUAUAGUGGUAUGUCGAUGGUCCAGUAACUGUAUUUCUAUUAAAACUUUUAAUAUAUUAUAUAAUAACUAUUAAUUCACUUAUUAUAAAAUUAAUUUUAUUAAUUUUAUAAUAAGUGAAUUAAAAGUUUUUUAACUUUAUUUUAUUAAUGUUAUAACAUGUGAAUCUAGAGUGGAACUUAGACGCGCAUUAAAGUUUUAUUAUAAUUGUUAACUUUUCGUAUAAGGGAUUAUUGAAAUUAACACUAACCAAAGAGUUCUAAGAUUAUAUAGAGCGGACAUUGGAAAGAUUUACAUACAAAGUAAUUGCGCUCAUGCGACGGUUAUCAGUCUACCGCGGAACAGCAAAUCACCUAUGUAAAAUUAUUAAUAUUUUUGCGCAUUUUAACAUACUUUCCGUAAAUAUAUUAUUUUUGUAUUAAUAUUUAAGGACGCUGUGAUAUCUUGUCAAACGGACAUUUCAAAUAAGACAACGAUUUAUUAUCAAUUGGUAAUUACUUUGGCGCACUUUGGUCCAGAUGUUCGGUCUAUAACUAACUGUACUGUUUAAUGUGUUUGACAUGAAAGAAUUUCUUUGUCAUCAUCAUCAUCAUCAGCCCGUUGCAGUCCACUGCUGGACAUAGGCCUCUCAAAAGGUACGUCACAGAGCCCGGUCUGCUGCUUUAUGCAUCCAGUCGUUGCCGGCUCGAAAGAAUUUCUUUAUAACUGCCACGAACAUAAAUUCUUUUUUAAAUUUACCUUACUUGUAAAGGUUAUCGAUGAUAUUAUUUAUCUAUUUCUAAUUUGUAUUCACAAGAUAAGAUUAGCAAGAAAACUUGCAGAAGUCAUUCCAUUCAUUCAUUUUUUAUUUGCACAGUAACUUUUAAUAUUAUAAAAAAUUAUUAAAGAUCACAUUGUCUCCUAAGGGGCGCCAAAGAAUUUCUUGCACACGGGCGGCACAUGAGCUAAAGCCGCCUCUGGUUCCGUUAUCUAGGCACUGAUUACUACCAAACCCAUUUAAUUCAAAUGUUAAUAAACAAAAAAGCACUUCAAUAACAAUCAUUUACAAACUUUUUUUAAUGGGUUUUGGCAGUAACCAGUACCUACAUAACUUAACUUUAAAAUGUGAAUAUCACUCCUUUUUCAGAUUCGAUACUUAGGAGCCAUCGAAGUAUUACUUCAAGUAAUUUCUAGACUUAAUUUAACAAUGUUUUAAGAAUUUCAAUUGACGAAACAAGGGUAGAAGUUUCUUCCUUACAUACAAAUACUAAGGCGUAAAACGUAAAAAAACGUUUGGUCCUACAUACCUUUAGAUUUAUGAUGCUUUAUGUUAGUAUUUAUCUACUAUGUAUUAAAAUAUUUAUUGUUGUAUGACAUUGUUAUUUGAUUAAGAUUUUACCAAACAUAUAAAAUGGAAUUAUUUUUGAAAAAUAUAAACAAAUUAUAAAUG